UCCCUGGUAGUCCAGUGGUUAAGACUCUGCAUUCCCAAUGCCAGGGGGCACGGGUUCGAUCCCUGGUCAGGGAA
rfam:Ovis aries breed Texel chromosome 11, whole genome shotgun sequence.